rnacentral:rRNA from 1 species
AGAGUUUGAUCCUGGCUCAGAUUGAACGCUGGCGGCACGCUUAACACAUGCAAGUCGGACGGCAGCAGCACUUAGCUUGCUAAGUGGCUGGCGAGUGGCGGACGGGUGAGUAAUGCGUAGGGAUCAACCUAAAAGAGGGGGAUAACCGUGGGAAACUAUGGCUAAUACCGCAUGCACUUCGUAAGAAGCAAAGGAGGGGCUCGAAAGACCUUCCGCUUUUAGAUGAACCUACGUUGGAUUAGCUAGUUGGAAAGGUAAAGGCUUCCCAAGGCGACGAUCCAUAGCUGGUUUGAGAGGACGAACAGCCACACUGGGACUGAGACACGGCCCAGACUCCUACGGGAGGCAGCAGUGGGGAAUAUUGGACAAUGGGGGCAACCCUGAUCCAGCGAUGCCGCGUGUGUGAAGAAGGCCUACGGGUUGUAAAGCACUUUCGAUGGUGAUGAAAGCGUUAUUGAGAAUAUUGUUAACGUAAGACGUAAGCCAUAGAAGAAGCACCGGCAAACUCUGUGCCAGCAGCCGCGGUAAUACAGAGGGUGCAAGCGUUAAUCGGAAUGACUGGGCGUAAAGGGCACGUAGGCGGAUAUAAAAGUUAGCUUUGAAAAUCUAGGGCUUAACCUUAGAAAGUGAGCUAAAACUGGAUAUCUAGAGUUCAGUAGAGGGAAGCGGAAUUUCCGGUGUAGCGGUGAAAUGCGUAGAUAUCGGAAGGAACACCAGUAGCGAAGGCGGCUUUCUGGACUGAAACUGACGCUGAGGUGCGAAAGCGUGGGUAGCGAACAGGAUUAGAGACCCUGGUAGUCCACGCCGUAAACGAUGAGUACUAGCUGUUGGAGUGCGACGAUACUUUAGUGGCGAAGCAAACGCGAUAAGUACUCCGCCUGGGGAUUACGGCCGCAAGGCUAAAACUCAAAGGAAUUGACGGGGGCCCGCACAAGCGGUGGAGCAUGUGGUUUAAUUCGAUGCAACGCGAAGAACCUUACCUACUCUUGACAUCCUUGGAAUUUUCAAGAGAUUGAGAAGUGCCCGAAAGGGAACCAAGAGACAGGUGCUGCAUGGCUGUCGUCAGCUCGUGUUGUGAGAUGUUGGGUUAAGUCCCGUAACGAGCGCAACCCCUAUUCUUAUUUACCAGCAUGUAAUGAUGGGAACUUUAAGAAGACAGCCGGUGAUAAACCGGAGGAAGGUGGGGAUGACGUCAAGUCAUCAUGGCCCUUAUGAGUAGGGCUACACACGUGCUACAAUGGGUAUUACAGAGGGAUGCGACACUGAGAGGUUAAGCGGAACUCAGAAAGGUACUCGUAGUCCGGAUUGAAGUCUGCAAUUCGACUUCAUGAAGUAGGAAUCGCUAGUAAUCGCGAAUCAGAAUGUCGCGGUGAAUACGUUCUCGGGCCUUGUACACACCGCCCGUCACACCAUGGGAGUGGGUUGUACCAGAAGUGAGUAGGAUAACCGCAAGGAGUCCGCUUACCACGGUAUGAUUCAUGACUGGGGUGAAGUCGUAACAAGGUAACC